rnacentral:rRNA from 1 species
UUGUACACACCGCCCGUUAAGUCAUGAAAGUUGGUAACACCCGAAGCCGGUGGCCUAACCGUUGUGGGGGAGCCGUCGAAGGUGGGACUGGUGAUUAGGACUAAGUCGUAACAAGGUAGCCGUACCGGAAGGUGCGGCUGGAUCACCUCCUU